GGGGAAUAUUGCACAAUGGGGGAAACCCUGAUGCAGCAACGCCGCGUGAGCGAUGAAGGCCUUCGGGUUGUAAAGCUCUGUCUUCGCUGACGAUAAUGACGGUAAGCGAGGAGGAAGCCACGGCUAACUACGUGCCAGCAGCCGCGGUAAUACGUAGGUGGCAAGCGUUGUCCGGAAUUACUGGGCGUAAAGGAUGCGUAGGCGGAUAUUUAAGUGGGAUGUGAAAUCCUGGGGCUCAACUCCAGAACUGCAUUCCAAACUGGAUAUCUAGAGUGCAGGAGAGGAAAGUGGAAUUCCCAGUGUAGCGGUGAAAUGCGUAGAGAUUGGGAGGAACACCAGUGGCGAAGGCGACUUUCUGGACUGUAACUGACGCUGAGGCAUGAAAGUGUGGGGAGCAAAC
rnacentral:rRNA from 1 species